CGAAGGGGGCUAGCGUUGCUCGGAAUCACUGGGCGUAAAGCGCACGUAGGCGGAUCCUUAAGUCGGGGGUGGAAAUCCUGGAGCUCAACUCCAGAAACUGCCUUCGAUACUGAGGACCUCGAGUCCGGGAGAGGUGAGUGGAACUGCGAGUGUAGAGGUGAAAUUCGUAGAUAUUCGCAAGAACACCAGUGGCGAAGGCGGCUCACUGGCCCGGUACUGACGCUGAGGUGCGAAAGCGUGGGGAGCAAACAGGAUUAGAUACCCUCGGUAGUCCACGCCGUAAACGAUGGAUGCUAGCCGUUGGCGGGUUUACCCGUCAGUGGCGCAGCUAACGCUUUAAGCAUCCCGCCUGGGGGAGUACGGUCGCAAGAUUA
rnacentral:rRNA from 1 species